UUUUACAAAAGAAAAAAAAAAUUAUUUAUUCUCUCCAUCUUCUUCUUCAUUGUUUACUCCGAAUUAAUCUAUCCAUUCCAAUCGAAGAAACACAAAUGGAUUGGCCUUGUUCAAAGUCGAAUUCAGGAACCCUAAUCCGUCAAGCCACUGGAUCUCGUCGUCGUAGACUCUUCGUCUUCUUCUUCUUUCCGAAUCUCCUCCCUCCACGGCGAAUUGGCUCCUUCGCCUUCCUCCGUCGCUCUUCGCCACCAUCACAUUUCCCGUCUCUCGCUUCUUCUUCUUAUUCCCUUCGUUUUAUCAGUUUCAGUUGCACAGGUCACUGAGGAGCAGCUUUGGGCAGGUCUAAGUCUCUUUUACAAGUUUAUCUUUGUUUGUGGUGUGUUCUUUGUCACGACUGGUUUUGGUUGUUUAGGUUGUUGACUGUUCCAUCACAUUCUGGGUCGGGUCUUGCUUUGACACCGCCGUUUUCGCCACCGCUUCAUUGAUCUGCCGUGUUCGAGAUCCGCCGUGUUCGACCUCGUGGCCGCCAAUCUAAGGAGAUGGCUUUUCAUUCCGAGGAGGACAAGAGUGAAGACUACCUCAUCAAGAUUGUUCUCAUUGGGGAUUGUGCAGUCCGGACAUCAAACUUGCUUGCAAGAUUUGCAAGGGAUGAGAUAUUGGUAGAUGUUGGUUGUGUAUUUGUUGGAUCUGCUUCUUGCUGGAGAUUAGGUUCUGGAAACGCAAACUUCUGUAUUGAUUUAUCAAGUUAUUUAGUGUGGUUCUUAUGUGUUCAAGACUGUGACAAGGCCGUUGGCAUAAAGCUUCGUUAGACUUCAA